AUAAGUUUAUGGGAAAACCUAUACUGUCGCCCUUUCACGGCGGCAACGCGGGUUCGAAUCCCGCUGGGGACGCCA
rnacentral:tRNA from 1 species